UCGGCUGCUGCGAACCUGGGCGGGCGAGCCUGUCUUCGAGCCCCUGCUCUCAAUUAGUUCGGGAACACACCCAGACGUGGAACUGCCGGGUCACGUGGUGAUUCUAUUUUUAAUGUUUCAGAGGAAGGCCCUGCACCAGUUUACGUUCCCGCCAAUGGUGCUGGAGGGUUCCGGCGUCUGGACGAGCUGAGCGCAUGAGGGAGGCUGCCGGGGCGGCACGUGCAGGGAGCGGGGGCUGGAUUCGUGCCCCGACCGCCCCGCCCCCCCCCCCUUCUGACGCCAGGGUGGCCCGGACGCCCCCUCUUUCCCUCCCCCGGACCCCGCGUGCCCACGGGGCUGUCCGGGUGUAGGGUCCCCGCGCCCAGAAGGACUGGACGGAGGCACAGGUGUGGGGGCUGUCAUGUGCCCAGGACCCCACCUGGAGGGCGGAGCAGAGUGCUGCUACCCUCAGGACAGUUACCUUAAGGAAAAUUCCGUCAAUGAGAGAUGAUGCCACGGUGCGAUUUGACUGCCUCGGGCAAGAUCGGGUUGGACAUCGAGGUGCCCGGGACCCCUCCCCGCAGCAGCCAGACUCCCUGCGGCGGAGGGGGGCCUGGGAACGCAGGGGCGCCCGCUCUUGGAGGUGAAAGCCCACGUGUCUCGAACUCGCCUCCCCCACCCCAAGCUCGGCCAAACCGGUCUCCCGCUCAGAAGGAGGAAUUCGAUCAAAUGUUAAUCCUCUCCACAUGUAGAAUAUUCCAGAUAGCCCCGAGCUCAUAGUGCCUUUUGAACUUGUGAACAGAAAUUGAUUCAAGGUGACGAAUUUGUAAUCAGUUUAUGAUUGAUGGGCCGCGUUUCCAGAAAGGCAGCUCUGUGUCCUUUCCUCCUUCCCGGGAAGCAAAUGUGUUUCACUUUAUCUGCCCUCAUCUCAGGACCCGGAGGACCAGGAGAAAGAAAAUAAAGUCAACUGCAAUAUUUAA